UAUUGAUUUGAAUACUAGAAGACUGACAAUUUCUCAAUUUGAAUUGAUCCAAACGUUCUGCGCCGUCGCCUGCUUUAUGUAUUUUCAAAUAGAUUAUUAAACUUGAUUCUUGACUUUAUUAGUAAAUUAAAUUAUUGCACAAAAAUAAUUAUUUCAUGUAUGACACUUGAUGGCACUCAAGACAAUGCCGAAAAGUUCUUAUUCGCUUAUUUUAUUUACAAUGAUUUGACAAUAUAUUAAAAUCAACGACCUUGUAUAUUAGUCUAAUCAUGAUGUUUUUAAAUAAUAAGAUUGAAUGACUCAUACAAGGACAUGAUCAAGAAAACGUAGAUAUAUGUAUAUAUUUCUAUAUGAUCUACAUUUUUUUUUUUUUGAAAUAACAUUAUCUAUUCUCUUUACCUUCUCUCUUUCCUUGUUAAUUUGAUUAUACUUAAUCCAAAAAAUUAAGAAAAAAUUGUUUUACCCAACAACAUUUAGUCAAUGAAAUUAUGAUCAGAAUGAAAUAUUGAAAAGUAAAAAAGUUAACCUAGAAAAUAUAGCAACAAAGUGACUAAUUUUAAUUGUGAUUAGAAAGCAAAGAAAAGUGAUUAAAGCAAAACAAAAAAGUGACAACAACUUGUUAUUUGUCCAUAAACUUUAAUCAUAACAUAUUUGAUAGUAAAGAAUUUUCAGUUUUUUAGACAGUGCAUGGUGCUUUCGUGUAUAUUUACAAAAUCUUCUAUCUGAAUUUGCUUUACUUCAAUGGACAGAAUUUUAUCAGAAUGAAUUAUAUACAUGUAUUCACCUUGGACCCUACACAAAGUUAAUGAAAUCAUAAGCAAUUAAGGGAAUAUGAAUGUGGUAAGUUGAAUUAAUCAUUCUAAAUGUUUCAGUCUCCCAAACCUGAACCCUACAAAAAUAAUGUUUUCCUGACUUUGAAAAGCUCUUUCUUAUUCCAGGUCGGUCUAUAUUUUGACCCAUCAUAAUGUCAAGAAAAUGUGAUUAUAUUUCAUCAACAGAAAAAAGUGUUAAAAAUCAAAUAUCAUGGAGACAAAUAAUAUUGGAUUCAUUCAACUGCCCACUCAAGUGAUCAUUUUCUAUUCAACCACCGCACAAAAAAGUAAAAGAUGCCUUUCAGAUCCAAUUGAAACUUGAUCCCAAUCCAAAACUUACCAUGUAAUAAUAAUUAAAACCAAAUGGGUUCUUUUUUUUCUUAAUUCCCAUGAUCGUAUAUCUUCUCAAUUUCAGCCUUUUUUUUUUUCUUCUUUUGUGAAAGCAAACAUAUACUAUUGUAUAUUUAGCACUAUUAGUUGUUAAAAUUGUGCAGAUAUGUAAACACUAUAAAUAGCCGCACAAUCUUAAGACGAGUAGACACUCGACAUAUGUACGGUAUUAUUAUAGACAUAUCUGCAUUUGAAAUUAUGGUGAUACCCACUUAAUUCUUAUCACCAUGAAAGGCGAUACAUAUGGUACAAUAUCGAGAUAUGUAAUUUGUGAAGUGGAAAAAUUGACAUAUCAACUAAAGGAGGAAAGAUUGUAACUUUGUUAGUGUGGUGGGAUGCAAAAUGAGCAAAUAUUGUCAAAGUUUGAGGUCAUUUAAUGAGAAAUUUAAGUGUCCCGUACAUGAGAGAUUAGACGCGCAUUAUGAUUUAGGUGAACAUUCAUCUUCAUACAUCCUCUUCAUUUCCACCAUCAUUGAUUCCAUCUAACAAUGCUUCCACUAUCUGUAAUUCAUCGGGCUUCCUUAGGUUUGAGCAACAAAUGUUAAUAUGUGUGUCACUCAAUAAGGCAAGUCUAGUUGUUACACGAAAGAGGUGAAGCAAAAGUGUCAAGUGAAUUUCGGUAGUUGAAAAAAUCUUAAUCCCUGCCUAGCUAGUACCCACAAUUUAGUAAGACUUUUUGAAGUAUUAAUUCUUGAAUAAUGUUUUUAUUAUAACAAAAUUCUCACGUGGUUCCACUUUAAAAUAUACGGAUCAAAUUAUUUAUAUAUAAAUACAUUUCUUUUCUGUAAUUGCAUUAAUUGUCUUAUUCGGGUGAAUGCUCAUUUAUUCCUUAUAUUUUGACUUAAGUGUUCGUUUAAUUCCUAUAUUUAAAAAAACAACCCUCAAAAUAUCUUUAUAGUUAAUUAUAUUA
rnacentral:lncRNA from 1 species